GUGAAGGAGUCCUGGGUCCUGAAGUGGCAACUGUGGAGGUCGCUGUGUUCCAUCCUAUGCUGCAGACCCAGGGCCGGGCCACAGAGCUCGGGAGAGGGGCAGGAAGAGGGUGCAGGGAGGAAGAGGGGCCAGGUGCUCUGCCCACACACUGAGUCUGAGGAGCCGUCCAGGAGCAAAGGGCUGGAAGUUUCCUAUGAAAGAGAGAAUCCACUUAAGAAUAAACUUCAGAGCUGGUCACAGUGGCUCACGCGUGUAAUCCCAGUACCUUGGGAGGCUGAGGCGUGUGGAUCACCUGAGGUCAGGAGCAUGAGACCAGCCUGGCCAACAUGGUGAAACCCCAUCUCUACUAAAUGCAAAAAAAAUCAUCUGAGCAUGGUGGAACAUGCCUGUAAUCCCAGCUACUUGGGAGACUGAGGCAGGAGAAUCACUUGAACCCGAGAGACAGAGGUUGCAGUGAGCCGCGAUCACGCCACUGUACUCCAGCCUGGGCAACAAGAGUGAAAUUCUGUCUCAAAAAAGCAAAAAC
rnacentral:lncRNA from 1 species